rnacentral:lncRNA from 1 species
UUUUUUCUUUCCUACUCUCCUCUUUUUUUUUUCCUUUUUUUUUUGGUUAAAUAUAUCUCCCCGUGUUUUCUUUAAGCUUCGUUUGGUUCGACUAUAAGUAAGAACUAUCUAUUCCACCAAGAAUAGAUAUAAGUUCAGAGACAAGCAGAAAUUAGACCAAUUUUACGUUUGGAUGAAAAUUAGAUUGUUUUUGAAAAUAAGAAAAAAAUAAAAUGGAAUAAGAAGAAUAAUGUGUAGUUAUAAAUAGAAAAUAAUAAUAUUAUCCAUUUUAUUAUAUUUUGAAUUAAAUUUUAAAUUUAAAUAUAUAACUCUUAAAUUUUAAAAAUACAAAAUUAAAAUUAAAUUUUAAAUCUCAAAUUCAAAAUUUAAAGUUCUAAAUUUUAAAUUU